rnacentral:rRNA from 1 species
GUGGGGAAUCUUAGACAAUGGGGGCAACCCUGAUCUAGCCAUGCCGCGUGAUCGAUGAAGGCCUUAGGGUUGUAAAGAUCUUUCAGCUGGGAAGAUAAUGACGGUACCAGCAGAAGAAGCCCCGGCUAACUCCGUGCCAGCAGCCGCGGUAAUACGGAGGGGGCUAGCGUUGUUCGGAAUUACUGGGCGUAAAGCGCACGUAGGCGGAUUGGAAAGUUGGGGGUGAAAUCCCGGGGCUCAACCCCGGAACUGCCUUCAAAACUCCCAGUCUUGAGGUCGAGAGAGGUGAGUGGAAUUCCGAGUGUAGAGGUGAAAUUCGUAGAUAUUCGGAGGAACACCAGUGGCGAAGGCGGCUCACUGGCUCGAUACUGACGCUGAGGUGCGAAAGCGUGGGGAGCAAACAGGAUUAGAAACCCGUGUAGUCC